rnacentral:sRNA from 1 species
UGGGGCUGGAAGUUCCCGCCAGGUCAGUGCCGGGCGAGAGAGAUGCUGCCCGGCCCGCCUCGGCUUUGAGGCGAGAGUCGUGUCCCAGACCCCUUUCGCCUUGCUGACGGCGUCGAGCCCCGGCCAGACAUGUCCACAGGGUUCUCCUUCGGGUCCGGGACUCUGGGCUCCACCACCGUGGCCGCCGGUGGGACCGGCACGGGCGGCGGUUUCUCCUUCGGAACGGGAGCGUCUAGCAACCCUUCUGUGGGGCUCAAUUUUGGAAAUCUUGGAAGUACGUCAGCUCCAGCAACUACAUCUGCUCCUUCAAGUGGUUUUGGAACCGGGCUCUUUGGAUCUAAACCUGCCACUGGGUUCACUCUAGGAGGAACAAAUACAGGAAUAGCAACAACUAUAACUACAGGAUUAACUCUGGGAACGCCAGCCACUACAUCUGCAGCUACGACAGGCUUCAGUUUAGGAUUCAAUAAACCUGCAGCAUCUGCCACACCAUUUGCUCUACCUAUUACCUCUACCUCAGCUAGCGGUCUGACUCUUUCGUCUGCUCUGACAUCAACUCCAGCAGCAUCCACAGGAUUUACUCUAAAUAAUUUGGGUGGGACAACAGCCACAACUACAACUGCAUCAACAGGCCUCUCUUUAGGGGGAGCCUUAGCUGGUUUGGGAGGUUCACUUUUCCAGAGUACAAACACAGGAACAUCAGGACUUGGACAGAAUGCUUUAGGGUUGACUUUGGGAACUACAGCAGCUACUUCAACUGCAGGCAAUGAAGGCCUUGGUGGUAUAGAUUUCAGUAGCUCCUCAGAUAAAAAGAGACAUCUAUAGAAGAUAGGUGGCAAUUUUAGAGAUACUAAAUAUGACAGAAAAAAACUUAAUAAAUUACAGUUGGAUGAAAGAGGUAAAAAAGUAAAACCCUAUGUGCAG